rnacentral:rRNA from 1 species
GCUACACAUGCAGUCGACGAUGNAGCCCGGAGCUUGCUCUGGUGGAUUAGUGGCGAACGGGUGAGUAACACGUGAGUAACCUGCCCUUGACUCUGGAAUAAGCGUUGGAAACGACGUCUAAUACCGGAUACGAGCUUCCGCCGCAUGGUGAGGAGCUGGAAAGAAUUUCGGUCAAGGAUGGACUCGCGGCCUAUCAGGUAGUUGGUGAGGUAAUGGCUCACCAAGCCUACGACGGGUAGCCGGCCUGAGAGGGUGACCGGCCACACUGGAACUGAGACACGGUCCAGACUCCUACGGGAGGCAGCAGUGGGGAAUAUUGCACAAUGGGCGCAAGCCUGAUGCAGCAACGCCGCGUGAGGGACGACGGCCUUCGGGUUGUAAACCUCUUUUAGUAGGGAAGAAGCGAAAGUGACGGUACCUGCAGAAAAAGCACCGGCUAACUACGUGCCAGCAGCCGCGGUAAUACGUAGGGUGCAAGCGUUAUCCGGAAUUAUUGGGCGUAAAGAGCUCGUAGGCGGUUUGUCGCGCUGC